rnacentral:tRNA from 1 species
GCCGAGGUCGCAUAGCCUGGCCAUUGCGAAGGAUUGCUAGGACUAUUUUCCUCAAGGACUGUCAUAAAAAUCCUUUGUCCUUCGGGGCACGUGAGUUCAAAUCUCACCCUCGGCG